AACGGCCGUACCAUGCUGAAUAUACCGGUUCUCGUUAGAUCACCGAAGUCAAGCAUCAUUGGGCGCGGUCAGUACUUGGGAGGGUGACCACCUGGGAACCUCGCGUGCCGUU
rnacentral:rRNA from 1 species